CCGUAACCAGUAGUUAAAAACUAGUCUGUGUUUUUACUGCAAUUAUGAUUUAUUUACAAUAAUUAUGAUAGUUUGUCAUGAAAUUUUCAAUGUUGAGUCAACAAUUACUAUAAUUGGUUAAUUAAAAAAUUUACAAUGACAAGAUAAUACUGGGUUAUCUACCGUAGACCAACAUUUAAAUUCCGUCUUACAGACAUCAGAAACAUUAGUAUAAUCAAAAACUGUUUAUAUCCUAAAUUGAAUUUUGCUAAUUGUUUCUAUUAUGUAAUAAUAGACCGUAUUUUUCAGUCGUUAGGCGAUAAUUGGCUUUCUCAAGUUUUACUGUCUGCAAUCUUAGAAUUCAUUUUUUAUUUUCAGUUCCGGAAGGUUAAAAUAAAAUCAAUUUAGUAAAAAACUUUCGCGCUUGUAGCAUUACCCCACUACUUUCGCCACAUGAUGGACACACAGCUGCAACCGGCCAUUGCAUCUACGCAUACGCAAAAAACUAGCUUGUCUCACCAUUUCUGAAGGAAGCACGUGGGGUCGUAACGUGUGUGCUGUGAUGCGACAAACAGAUGGAUAGAAGUACUGCCCGACGGAAACAUGUUCGCCAUCCUCCUUGAUGUUGAUAAUGUCAUACUCGGCGUAAAUACGGUCUCCAUUGUCAUCAAAGGCUACUCUGCCGGUAGCUCCAUCAAUCAACACUUGCUCCCGGAUGAAUCUAAUUGUUCGAAGAAAGUAAUUAAAUGAAGCUUAAAUUAGAAUUAACAAUGGUAUAAUAAAGAUAAACCGUACUCGAA